CAUAUUCCCAUGAAGGAUUUUUUUAAAAUGUGAAAUGUCUUUUUAUGCUCUUACCUUUUAUAAAAAGGGAUUUCUUGCUUUGUACCGCAUUGGUGGCAAUUGUGAGGAAAGCCAGUUAAAUUACCUUUUUAGAAAGGAAAUACAGUGGUUUCUUUAGUUUAGAGUGACUUUUUUUAUAUAACAAGAUGGCCUAGAAACAGUCAACUGUCAUAAAUAACCAGGGCACCCUGGUUAAUAUGUCUAGCAAUUCCAAAUUUUGUUUGAGGGACUGAUUCUCAGCUGUUGGUAGCCAUGACUGUCAUGUAGAAUUGGAGAAAAUGCAAAGAAAUCAAACGUGCCGAGUGUAGAAAGGAUCUUCAUAUUAAAUAGCUUGGACCCUUCUGUAUCAGGCAAGUAGUGUGUGUCAGUCUAAGCCACAGUCAUGAAGCAAGUAUGGGAAAGUCAGGAGUACGUUUAAGAGAAAGAUGUCCAGAAGAAAAAUGGUUGUGUAGGAAGGGGGAAGUCAGUGCAUGGGCACCAUUCGAGCAGAGGGCAGACUUGUAAAGUGCCCAAAGUGAAAAGAAUGUGAGGAACCAGUUAGCAGAAAGAUGUUUGCACAUACUUUAUACAAACUACAGAGCAUCUUAUAUUGGAAGUGAAAGCAAUGAACUUGGACUUUUACUCAUGUGCAUAUAUUCUGAAGGCAAUAUGGACUAUUUGAAAUUAAAAACAUACUAAUUGGACCUUAAUAAAUCAUUCUCAAUCCGUGUUUUGGUAAUGUGUGGUUCUGGUCAGUGCUGUCUCUCUUGUUGGAGAGUCUUCCGGUUUGAAUUGCGUGGUGCUUUCCUUCUGUGACCUCUUUUAUUUCACUGCCAUGAGGGCCAGUGAACUUUGAGGUGAAGCCGUCAUAUGCUUCCCCAGCUCAGAACUGCUUUUUUCAACCUAACAAGUCUUUCCAGUGUCCAAGAGACGGUGGUUAAUGUUGUACGAAAGGAGGGAUAACAUCUUAGGACAAUACUUUACUUCAGUGGUGAAACUGUUAGAAUGAGUGUCUUUUGGAAAAACUCUGAUUUUAUAAAAGCUUAUGAUGACUUAAUGGAAAAUGCUCACUAGGAGUUUAUCAAGUUACAAUGGUCUUUCUGCUUAUAGAUUUAAUAACGAGAUAAAAGUGAUAAGUAUCUUGCAGUUAUAUGCUAAUUGUAUUCUUUUCAAUAUAUUGCUAAGAGGUUGGAAAAAGAUAGGUUUAUGUAAAUGAAUGCCUCCAUGAGUACUGGAAGAGAAUGCUGAAUCUUAAUUUUAGGUGGAUGUAAGAUUGUUAGAAAUCAAAUGUUUUGGAGCUCUUCUUCACAAAUUACCCACUUCUCACAUAUUGCUUUUUUUUUUUUUACUAGUGAAACCAUAAUUUCCUACACCCAAAACCUCAGCUAACAUUUUAUAAUUAGUCUUGUCAGUUUUCCCAUUCUCGUUCCCAAUUAACUAUUACUUUAGGUUCCACUGUUCAUCUUUCUAAUUUAUUCUAUUAGUCUCUCCACUGCUGAAAUGUAAUUUUGUGAUAUUGUUUCUAGCCUUUCUUAAACCCAGAGUGUGACACGUGCUAGAUAAAAGGCAUAGAAAUGCUUCUUUAUCAGGUCCAUUCAUUAUACCAAGGUCGGCAGAACGUUUUUAUGUCAAGAUCUUUUGAAACAAAUUGCUUGUUUUUUAACACCAAUUGAGCAUCACCUGAUUCCAAACCCUUGGAAGGACUGGGGUUUGUGUAUGGGGAUUGGCUUGGAUUUAGGGACCAUCUAACAGAAGAAAUGUGUGUAACUUGGAGCCAGAAUGGGUCAUCAGUCUUCCAAAGCAGGGAGCAUUCAUUUUAUAAUAUUCACCUGUACAUUGUGUAGUCUAUGUAUAAAAUUCUCUAAUUCUUUCCUUAAAUUAUAAGAUUCCUAUUCAUAGAUUAUUUACUAAUAAUCUAUUUAAUGAUGUGGCAUGUGAAGACCAAAAUCUAAAGCAGAGGCUAGCGAAC
rnacentral:lncRNA from 1 species